GUAUUGGUGGUUCAGUGGUAGAAUUCUCGUCUGCCCACAGGAGACCCGGGUCAGAUUCCCGACCAAAGCA
rnacentral:tRNA from 1 species